AUUGAACGCUAGCGGGAGGCCUAACACAUGCAAGUCGAACGGAGUGGCGAACGGGUGAGUAAUGUAUCGGAACGUGCCCAGUAGCGGGGGAUAACUACGCGAAAGCGUAGCUAAUACCGCAUACUAUUGGAGCGGCCGAGAUCGGAUUAGCUAGUGGGUGGGGGAAAGGCUCACCAAGGCGACGAUCCGUAGCGGGUCUGAGAGGAAGACCAGCCACACUGGAACUGAGACACGGCCCAGACUCCGACGGGAGGCAGCAGUGGGGAAUAUUGGACAAUGGGGGAAAGCCUGAUCCAGCCAUCCCGCGUGUGCGAAGAAGGCCUUCGGGUUGUAAAGCACUUUUGGCAGGGAGGCGGUACCUGCAGAAUAAGCACCGGCUAACUCCGUGCCAGCAGCCGCGGUAAUAC
rnacentral:rRNA from 1 species